rnacentral:rRNA from 1 species
GACGAACGCUGGCGGCGUCCCUAAUACAUGCAAGUAGAACGCAGUUGCGAACGGGUGAGUAACGCGUAGGGAACUGCCUCCUAGCGGGGGCUACCUAUUGGAAACGCUAGCUAAUCCCGCAUACUGUGAGAUGGCACUGCGUUGAAUUAGCUAGUUGGUGAGGUAAAGGCUCACCAAGGCGACGAUACCUAGCCUACCUGAGAGGGUGAUCGGCCACCCUGGGACGGAGACACGGCCCAGACGCCGACGGGAGGCAGCCGUAGGGGAUCUUCGGCACUUGACGGAAGUCUGACCGGGCAACGCCCCGUGAGUGAAGAAGGUUUUCGGGUCGGAAGGCUCUGUUGUGAGAGAAGCGGUAACUAGCCAGAAGGGGACGGCUAACUACGUGCCAGCAGCCGCGGUAAUUC